UUUUGUUCAUGCUCCGGGCCUGUGUGUCUCCCGUCUGGAGUCUUACUCCUCUCAAAUCACAAAAUGCAAAUUCAUCUUUCAAAAAUCAGCCAAGGGCCCUCUACUCAAGAAGGCCCUCCCUGAUUCCUCCUCCCGGUGGGAGGCCUCCUCCU